ACUUGCUGUAAAGGAGAAAUGUUACAAAGAAAUACAAUUUAAAUAUUGGCGUCUUUUAUUGCGGUCGUAAAAUCAUUAAAAAAUAGUAAAAAGCUAUUUAGAUUUAAUUAAACGAGUAUUUAACCCUUAGUUGACUAAGAAAUAUUUUAAGUUUUAAAAAUUUGGUAUUUACCAAGUGAAACCAGGUCGAUCUCCAAAUCCCAAGAGAGUGUAGGCUUUCCACUUCCUCUACAUCCACCAACGUUUACUAGAUCGAAUACUCUUACUAUUUUCUUCAACAAUAGAUAAAAUAAGUCAGAUGAUGAGAGACCAUCUUGUUGGGUACCGUACGGCCCGGAAAGCUCCUCUUAAAUUCUGACUGCUGCUGCUCUUCUGCUGUUGUUCAGCGUCAGUUUACACAGUCGUAUAAGUUUUGCAAAAUCACCAAAUUCAGUCAUAGCGGCGUUAAGGUGAAUGACUUUGCUAUAAAAGAAACCGCAGAGCAAGCUAAUAAAUCAGGAAGUGACAGGAAAAGCAUCAGCUUAUGGAGGUUGAUAGCCAGACGGCAAUUAAAUCUCACACCGCUUUACGUAACAAAAUGUCUUUAGAAGCAAGAAAGCAGUUUUUGAAAUGGGUGCAAGAAAGCAACGCCAUAUAUAUUGAGUUCCAGGCCCCGAGGCCAUUGUAGGGAACGAAAUAAUCGCCGAAAAUGAUCAUCUAGCUAUCAACCAACGCAUGAAAUUCAAAAGUCGCUAAAUAAACUGAAU